rnacentral:rRNA from 1 species
UACGAAGGGGCUAGCGUUGCUCGGAAUCACUGGGCGUAAAGCGCACGUAGGCGGAUUGCUAAGUCAGGGGUGAAAUCCUGGAGCUCAACUCCAGAACUGCCUUGAUACUGGCGAUCUUGAGUCCGGGAGAGGUGAGUGGAACUGCGAGUGUAGAGGUGAAAUUCGUAGAUAUUCGCAAGAACACCAGUGGCGAAGGCGGACUCACUGGCCCGGUACUGACGCUGAGGUGCGAAAGCGUGGGGAG